rnacentral:tRNA from 1 species
GGCUCCAUAGUUCAAUGGAUAGAAUACGGGUUUCCUAAACCUUAGAUUCGGGUUCGAUUCCCGAUGGGGCUA